rnacentral:rRNA from 1 species
GGCUCAGAACGAACGCUGGCGGCGCGUUUAAGCAUGCAAGUCGAGCGGCAAGGGCCUCGGGCCCCUAGAGCGGCGGACGGGUGAGUAACACGUGGACAAUCUGCCCCCCGGCCCGGGAUAGCCCAGGGAAACCUGGAUUAAUACCGGAUGAGACGGGACCCGCGAAGGCGGGACCCGGGAAAGGCGCUGCGGCGCCGCCGGGGGAUGAGUCUGCGUCCCAUUAGCUAGACGGCGGGGUAACGGCCCACCGUGGCGACGAUGGGUAGCCGGCCUGAGAGGGUGAACGGCCACAUUGGGACUGAGACACGGCCCAAACUCCUACGGGAGGCAGCAGUGGGGAAUAUUGCACAAUGGGCGCAAGCCUGAUGCAGCAACGCCGCCGUGAGUGAAGAAGUAUUUCGGUAUGUAAAGCUCUAUCAGCAGGGAAGAAAGGCCCGAAAGGGAGAUGACGGUACCUGACUAAGAAGCCCCGGCUAACUACGUGCCAGCCGCAGC